UGAGACAGACUUACUGUACAGAGACACAGGGAGAGUCAUUAUAGUGAGUGAGACAGACUUACUGUACAGAGACACAGGGAGAGUCAUUAUAGUGAGUGAGACAGACUUACUGUACAGAGACACAGGGAGAGUCAUUAGAGUGAGUGAGACAGACUUACUGUACAGAGACACAGGGAGAGUCAUUAUAGUGAGUGAGACAGACUUACUGUACAGAGACACAGGGAGAGUCAUUAUAGUGAGUGAGACAGACUUACUGUACAGAGACACAGGGAGAGUCAUUAUAGUGAGUGAGACAGACUUACUGUACAGAGACACAGGGAGAGUCAUUAUAGUGAAUGAGACAUAUUGAGAUAUGAUGCUGGCUGUGUGUGUCACUGUUGUCCUGGGCCUUCUCUCAGUGAGUGGCUCCCAGGCGGCCCCUUUAACCUGUGAUGAUCUCCUGAGACCACUGGAGCUGAGCAGUGUCAAUCAGACUCUGGGGAAGUGGAUGUAUAUUGCUGAGAGUUCGGAUGGUCCUUUCUGGGAACAAAUACUGUAUACCUUAUUACACAGUGCCUGGAUAGAGAUCUCUGUGCCGGUCGGUACCCAGAACAACAUUCUUGACAUCGCCCAUUUCUUUGGCAUCGGUAUUCCACAUCUAAAUGCUUUUCGAUUCAGAUGCUACAGGAUCAACUCUAACUUUACUCUGCAUGACAAUAAAACAUGGACCUCAGUGACCCCCAGCCCUGUUACUGAGGUUCUCCUGCCAACGUGCUCAGACUGCCUCCUGGCCCUGGAGAGAUGGGAUGAGGAUGGGAAGACCUUCACCUCUCUAACACUCUACAGUAGGAGACGGGAGCUCACUGCUACUGAACUGGACUUCUAUAAGAAACAGGUGGAUUGUCUCAGUCUGCCACCAGCGACAUUCAUGGAUCCACAGAAAGAUCUCUGUCGCGACACAACUCCACUCUUAGAAGAUACAAUUGAGAAGGAAGUUGAGAAUGCAGUUGAACUUAUUUCAGAGAUUCCAAGAAUACUCACAUAUACAUUUACACGUUUAAUGUAUUAUGUUUUUUAGCCAUUUUCAAUGUUUGAAAUGAGUAGUUGAUUAGUUGCCUCCUCCUCUCUGAUUGGUUUGCUGCCCACCAUGUAUUCUACAGUAACCCAGGGUUACAGUACCUAACCCAGCAAGCCUGUAAACAGUCCCUGAUGCCUUGAUGUGGGACCAAACUCCACUCUGCUAAUGUUGCUCUACAUUCAACACAAUAAAUCCAGAUUAAGACAAA